GACGAACGCUGGCGGCGUGCUUAACACAUGCAAGUCGAACGGUAAGGCCCUUCGGGGUACACGAGUGGCGAACGGGCGAGUAACACGUGGGUGAUCUGCCCUGCACUUCGGGAUAAGCCUGGGAAACUGGGUCUAAUACCGGAUAGGACCACUGACUGCAGGGGUGGUGGUGGAAAGCUGUUGCGGUGUGGGAUGGGCCUGUGGCCUAUCAGCUUGUUGGUGGGGUGAUGGCCUACCAAGGCGACGACGGGUAGCCGGCCUGGGAGUGGGAACGGCCAAACUGGGACUGAGAUACGGCCCAGACUCCUACGGGAGGCAGCAGUGGGGAAUAUUGCACAAUGGGCGCAAGCCUGAUGCAGCGACGCCGCGUGAGGGAUGACGGCCUUCGGGUUGUAAACCUCUUUCAGCACCGACGAAGCGCAAGUGACGGUAGGUGCAGAAGAAGGACCGGCCAACUACGUGCCAGCCGCCGCCGUAA
rnacentral:rRNA from 1 species